AAAGUCAGAUCUCAAGCUGAACAAGAAUUCCUCCUUUAGUUCCCAGCUCGAGAUUCACAAACAAUUGCUAGGGCUUAACUCAAAAACCAGCAGACAUUAGGCAUUUUCCAGCAACAGGCUCUUUGAGAAUCGCCCCUGCCAGAAGCUAGACAACAGAAAGAAAAAACCUCAAAUCAGAUUACUCACAUAACUUCGUCGUGCUCAAAUCUCUCCAUUUUUAGCAGCUAACUGAACUGACAGACACCACACAAACAGCCUGAUCUCAAACUCUGCUGCCUACUGCCACACAGUGAAGCAAUCACAAACCACAAAUCGCAAGAAAAUCGGGAAAUUGGAGGUGGGUGGGUGUGAGUUUGGUCAGUGUGAUUGUGUGUGUAUCUCUCUCCUCUUCAUUGGGUUGAGCUCUGGGAGCUCAUGGGUAAACGAAACGAACCAGAGAGAGGGAAUGAAUCGGACGAU
rnacentral:misc_RNA from 1 species